rnacentral:lncRNA from 1 species
AUGUAUGCAACCAAUGAUAGCAUAAAGCCCAGUUUUAAUGUAAUAAGAAGAAGGCAAUUCACCUGUACUCAGCUCUACAGCCUCCACCCCAGCUGGGGGAAAACAAAUGGUGGAAGGGGAGAGGGGAGAGGGAAGAUGGCAAGAAUAAUUAAAAUGAACAUGAUUAAGCUAUAAGAGCAGUUUCCAAAUUGUUGUUCCAUACCAAAGAAUUGAAGGAAGCAGAGGAAUGUGAGGGGUUGGGUAAGGUGAGUGCUUUCAUUUUUUUCUAAGGUUCACUUAAUUUUCCUCUUAAGCACUACCUAUUUAAUUUUUUUUUCCUUGUUAAGUGUAUAGCUGCCUAUUCAAAGCAAGCUCAAGAGGUAUGCACUUAAGCUAAGAGAAUAAAGGUAAUGUGAUGAUAAUUAUACA